AGGUUACAGGUUACAUGUUACAUUGCGACAAUUUAUAAGGUACAUAAUUGUGACAACCGCAGAAACAACAAGUGAAAUCGCAAACAUUGCCUAACAACGACGGCCGACAACCCCACGUUUAUGAAACUGAUCGAACUUCCCAAACUUAAUUUAAAAACGAGUGGCUCAUCCCGAAGCAGAAGCUACAAGAGUUACUAAUCCUGGCUGUCGCAUCCCCCCUCAUUGUUGUAGUAGUGGAUGCUGCUUACCACGACAGACAAACCGCAAUCUCCGGCCCGGGGGCGCAUAAAUCAUUAGCAUGAGUUCCUACCGGUGGACGGUGCACCAGCAACAAGGGACUCCAACGGCGGCCGGUACCAGUAGUGUCAUAAUUUACAACCAAUAUACCAACAAUCACAUUGUCUGAACAAGCAAGCAAACAACGGAAGAAGAAUAGUCCACGCAAGAAGCGAAAAACAACAAUUUUAGUGUUUGUGAUUUAUUUAUGUCCCCUUGUUAAGUGUAAAUAGUUAUAAAAAGGUGAAACGCUCCAAAGUUAAACGAGAAAGAUAGAAAGAGAAGUUUUUGCCUUCCUUAGUUCAUGUUACCAUUAUUGUUGUAGAUGUUGUAAAUAAGCUCUGCUGUUUUGUUGAACGUGAUUGUAAACGUGUUGCGCAGAAUUAUUGCAUUGCAACCAGGAAGUUUCGCAUCACUGCUAGUCUCCAGUUAGUGAUUUUGUUUUGUUCGAUUUUUUUAAGGCUGCAGCAACGCCAUCGGGAGUGUAAGUGGAAACUAAAGCGAAGAAAUUAAUGAGAGAAGUUGUGCAGAGUGCAAGAAAAAUAGUUUAAAAGAAAAGUUUUUCCAACCGACUCCGGGUUGUCAGCGAAUCAACACGUGCCUGGGACUUGUAACAGUUGAAAAAGUCAACGUCAGCCCACUUGAACCGAAGCCGGGUAGAAAUCCAACUCAAAAUGGAAACGGAGGAAAUUAUCAAGCUCGUCGACGGGAUCUAUAAGAACAUCCUCGAGAAGUUCAACCCCGGAGCGCGGCAGCUGAUCAGUGCCGGUAAGGCCUACCUGAAAGCCCUCCACGGAGCGUCGGCGGCGUCCAAUCUGUUCAACGAAGCCCUGGCCAAAAUCGCUGUCAAUGCACAGCAAGGAGGCACCAUCGAU